CUCCUUAUUAACAGAAGUUAAUAAGGGAAAGAUUUAUUGGUAAGAGAUUAGCCUGUAUUGUAUCAGUUAGUUGGUGGGGUAAUGGCUUACCAAGACUAUGACACAUAACUGGUUUGAGAGGAUGAUCAGUCACACUGGAACUGAGACACGGUCCAGACUCCUACGGGAGGCAGCAGUGGGGAAUAUUGCACAAUGGACGAAAGUCUGAUGCAGCAACGCCGCGUGGAGGAUGACACAUUUCGGUGCGUAAACUCCUUUUAUAUGAGAAGAUAAUGACGGUAUUAUAUGAAUAAGCACCGGCUAACUCCGUGCCAGCAGCCGCGGUAAUACGGGGGGUGCAAGCGUUACUCGGAAUCACUGGGCGUAAAGAGCAUGUAGGCGGAUUAAUAAGUUUGAAGUGAAAUCCUAUAGCUUAACUAUAGAACUGCUUUGAAAACUGUUAAUCUAGAAUGUGGGAGAGGUAGAUGGAAUUUCUGGUGUAGGGGUAAAAUCCGUAGAGAUCAGAAGGAAUACCGAUUGCGAAGGCGAUCUACUGGAACAUUAUUGACGCUGAGAUGCGAAAGCGUGGGGAGCAAACAGGAUUAGAUACCCUGGUAGUCCACGCCCUAAACGAUGUACACUAGUUGUUGUGAGACUUGAUCUUGCAGUAAUGCAGUUAACACAUUAAGUGUACCGCCUGGGGAGUACGGUCGCAAGAUUAAAACUCAAAGGAAUAGACGGGGACCCGCACAAGCGGUGGAGCAUGUGGUUUAAUUCGACGAUACACGAAGAACCUUACCUGGACUUGACAUAGUAAGAACUUUCUAGAGAUAGAUUGGUGUCUGCUUGCAGAAACUUAUAUACAGGUGCUGCACGGCUGUCGUCAGCUCGUGUCGUGAGAUGUUGGGUUAAGUCCCGCAACGAGCGCAACCCUCGUGUUUAGUUGCUAACAGUUCGGCUGAGAACUCUAAACAGACUGCCUACGCAAGUAGGAGGAAGGUGAGGACGACGUCAAGUCAUCAUGGCCCUUACGUCCAGGGCUACACACGUGCUACAAUGGGAUAUACAAAGAGCGGCAAUACGGUGACGUGGAGCAAAUCUUAUAAAAUAUCUCCCAGUUCGGAUUGUAGUCUGCAACUCGACUACAUGAAGUUGGAAUCGCUAGUAA
rnacentral:rRNA from 1 species